GAUGAACGCUAGCGGCAGGCUUAAUACAUGCAAGUCGAGGGGUAGCAAGAUUGUAGCAAUACAAUUGUUGACGACCGGCAAACGGGUGCGGAACACGUACACAACCUUCCUACAAGUGGGGAAUAGCCCAGAGAAAUUUGGAUUAAUACCCCGUAACAUAGCGAUGUGGCAUCACAUUGCUAUUAUAGCUUCGGCGCUUUUUGAUGGGGGUGCGGCUGAUUAGAUAGUUGGCGGGGUAACGACACACCAAGUCUAAGAUGAGUGGCUGAUGUGAGAGCAUGAUCAGCCACACGGGCACUGGGAGGAGGGCCCGACUCCAACGGGAGGCAGCAGUAAGGAAUAUUGGACAAUGGACGCAAGUCUGAUCCAGCCAUGCCGCGUGAAGGAUUAAGGUCCCCUGGAUUGUAAACUUCUUUUAUAAGGGACGAAAAAAGGUCUUUCUAGAUCGUCUGACGGUACCUUAUGAAUAAGCACCGGCUAACUCCGUGCCAGCCGCCGCGGUAAAAC
rnacentral:rRNA from 1 species